UCCCUCUUGCAGUCAUGUGACUGCCUCAUUAUUCUGGCACACACCUGCCAGCUGCCUUGAUGCCUGCUGUGGCCCUUAAAGUGGCAGGCACCAAAGGUGCUCUGCCACAUUAGCACAUAUCCAUCCAGAGUUAACCUUGAGUGGGAACCACCAUUUUUAAAGCUCUUUAUGUACCAUGAACAUCUGUUCUGUUAUGGCUGUGAAGUGCUUUCUGCACAUUUAAAGCAUGGACACAAAUGAUAUGGCUCAGAGCAAUCCCAGCAGAGUCACAGCUGCUCCCCUCCUGUCCCCUAUAGAGUAGAGCCAAGACCAGUUGGAACUUAACCAUAUACGGGUUUAGUAGGGAAAGAACCAGGGAAAGAUAUGACCCACAGAUGGGAGGGGGUGGGGGGCAAUGGGUGCAAGAGAACAAGAAGGGAUUCAGUAAAGGGAUCUUUAUGCUAUACAUCUAGCAGAGGCAAAUCAACAAGAAUCUUGAGGUGCAGGGUUUCACAAAAUAUAAGAUGCAGGUUAACAAAAUAUGAGAUGCAGGUACCCCGGAGGGGCAGGGAGAAAACAGCUGAGGAAAGCCAGCUCCCAGGUGAGGAUUCCUUCUUCAAUCAACUCACCACUCAGUUGCUUGGCCCAGGAAUUGAACCUGUGUCUCCAGUGUAGCAAGCAGAGAUUUCCCCCCUAAACCAUCAAAACCAGAAUUGCUGGCUGUAGCUCAGGCUUUUGUCCUUCAGGGAACCUUUGCAUGCUGAGGGGACUGCACACCACACUGCCCAUCCUCUCUCCAGGGAAUUGGAACCCUGAGCCACCCCUGCAGCUCCAAGGCUGGGGUUCCCCGCUGGGGAUUUCCCGCACGCUGCCCUGCACACCGAAGAGAAACAACAGCUACGGGUAUCCAGUUAAGCUGCCCCUGCAGCUCCGAGGCCGGGGUCCCUGCUGGGGAUUCCCUCCAUGCCAGCCUGCACACCAAAGGAAAUGCUGCCUGGGUUUCCAGCCUAGCUGCUGCCUGCAGGUCCGAGGCUGUCGCCUGCACCGGGGCUCUUCUGAGGCAACUGCUCCUCCCUGACUGGCAAACUCUCACCAGCUCUUCAAGGCCCCUCUUCUUUGCCCCUCAUCGAUCUCUUCUCUCCAGGGUCAGGCGCACUGCCCCUUAUAUCCCCCUCCAGGUGACUGUCAGGACCAAUCAAGCGACAUAAGAGGUUGCACCUCUGUGUUGCCCCGCUCUGAGGAAGAAGCUACAGCCCGUUCAGGUGUUCCGGCUGAAAUCAAGCCCUUCUAAAAGAAGUGAGAAAAUGAAGCAACGAUGCACAUAAAUACGGGAAGCUCCUGAUGGGAAACUGACAGCGGUCAAAACUGAGUUCAGUUGAGGUGCAGGAAGUCAAGCCUGUCAUUGAGAGGUGAACGUGGGAGGAACAAAGGUCCAGUUGGGCAAAUUACCAAGGUUCUAAUAUGCAUUUAAUGGGCUGCUAGUCUAUUGAGUAUUUCCACUCAAAAAGAUGUCAGAUUUUGGAGCUGUUCCAAAAGACAGAAUGAUAUGAACCCAUAGGCACAAGUUAGUGUUUUAGAAGAAUAUAAAAGAUUGUGUGUGUGUUGUUGUUGGUUUUCUGGGUAUUGCCUCUGUAUAUCAUUUCUAUCCAUCACUUGUGAGUAUAGCUGGCUUGGACUGAUAAAAAUAACUUCACUGAACCAAAUAUAACUCCAUCUUUUACUCGUUUUGAGGAAACAAGCUAUUUUGUCCUUGUAACGCGUCAGUCAGCAUGUGAAUGAACACUGGAAACAGCAAUAAAUUCAUUGAUUCAUUAGUCACCAGUGAAAGGUCAUCAUGGAAUUUAUGAAGCCAUUUGUCAUGAAAAAUAUUUAUAUCCCAAUAGAGAUCAAUAUCUAAAGAUAUUUUAAUGGAAAUUUUCAUAGGUUAAAAAAUUGCUUGUGGCUCCCAUGACAUCUUUAAAACUGAACCAUUGUUAAAGGCAGUGAUGUUCUACCCAGAAAUGUUAGUGAUGAAAAACUUUGAAGAGGAGGGGGUGGAAAGAAACCCUCUUUGAACAGGUUCAACAAAAUUAGACUUCUGUCUUGAUAUACAGAUAAAAAUCUUUCUGUUUCCCACCAGCCCAAGGGAAAUUUUGCAUUCAUCACCAAGCAGGGUAAUGAAGUAUCUUUUCAUGUCGGAUUUCUUACUUUGGGAGAUGUUCUAUUUGUAGUAAUAACAUGGGAGGAGAAGAAAGUCCCAAGUGGUAGCACAGAGCUCUGAGCAGUGGCAAACUAAUUCUGCCUAGGAACAUUUUUCAAAUUAUUGGAAAACAUUUUGAAGUUGCACACGGCAAAGGCUGCAAGAAAGAGCUUUUCUUGAUUACCAGAACUGCUAAGGCACUGCAUAAUGCCUUUGUUUGUUUUGACACAUACAACUAUUUACUUAAUAAAACAAAAUGGUUCAU